rnacentral:misc_RNA from 1 species
UUUACUUAAGAAGGAUAGGUAAAUCAUGCAUUUAUGAAAUCUUUAACCUCAGUUCGGCAUAUUUUUCAUUUCUCAAUGAUAAGUAUUUUUGGCAUUCACGUAUGCUCAAAUGGCUUGUUAAUUUGCAAUUUUAUGUGGAGCGGACCGAGCAGUUGAUUUUCUCAUUUUCCCAUGCUUCAAAUCUUAACUUGCAGGUAUCUGGAUCGUCGCAAGAGGCUUAUAAUAGCCAUGGAUGCUGCAUUUGGAAUGGAGUAUCUG